rnacentral:rRNA from 1 species
UACGUAGGGUGCAAGCGUUGUCCGGAAUUAUUGGGCGUAAAGAGCUCGUAGGCGGUUUGUCGCGUCUGCUGUGAAAACUCGGGGCUUAACUCCGGGCCUGCAGUGGGUACGGGCAGACUAGAGUGCGGUAGGGGAGACUGGAAUUCCUGGUGUAGCGGUGAAAUGCGCAGAUAUCAGGAGGAACACCGGUGGCGAAGGCGGGUCUCUGGGCCGUAACUGACGCUGAGGAGCGAAAAGCGUGGGGGAGCGAAACAGGG